rnacentral:tRNA from 1 species
GUUCCUGUAGUUGAGAACAACAAUGGCUUUUCAAGCUGUAGUCCUUGGGGUAGAACCAAGCGGGAAUA